AUUAGAUGCUUCCAUGUCACCUAGUUACCUAGAGUAGUUGGCCUACGUGAAAGGAAGAGAAGUCAUCCCUCAAAAAGUAAUUCGCUGAACACUUAUGAACCCACCACCCAGCUUGACGACUAAAAUAUUACCAAAUAUCGGUGAAAAUCCAGUGUGCGGCUAUUGCCUAAUGCUACCCUCCUACGUUCCCCCAAAGCAACAGGAUCCGAAGGAAACUUCUGACAGCUUUGGGGACAACAAGAAACACAGAUGUGCUACCUGCAAACCCUUGAGUUCUCCAUCUUGCUCGCUGUCUCUGAGGGCUGUGGUGAAUUAACUAUCCAUCCACAAACAACAUCACCUUUGUGGGAGCUGUGAGAUCCAACACCAUUUGCCAAGGGACCUGGAAGGGGUCUUGCCCACCUGUGCAUCCAAUAAUAGGCAGACACACCUCUUCUACACCUCCGGACAGCAGAUCCAGGAGAACCCAUGAACCUGCCCCAAGCCCUCU
rnacentral:lncRNA from 1 species